rnacentral:rRNA from 1 species
CACGUAGGCGGACUAUUAAGUCAGGGGUGAAAUCCCGGGGCUCAACCCCGGAACUGCCUUUGAUACUGGUAGUCUAGAGUUCGAGAGAGGUGAGUGGAAUUCCGAGUGUAGAGGUGAAAUUCGUAGAUAUUCGGAGGAACACCAGUGGCGAAGGCGGCUCACUGGCUCGAUACUGACGCUGAGGUGCGAAAGUGUGGGGAGCAAACA